rnacentral:rRNA from 1 species
UACGAAGGGGGCUAGCGUUGCUCGGAAUCACUGGGCGUAAAGGGUGCGUAGGCGGGUCUUUAAGUCAGAGGUGAAAUCCUGGAGCUCAACUCCAGAACUGCCUUUGAUACUGAAGAUCUUGAGUUCGGGAGAGGUGAGUGGAACUGCGAGUGUAGAGGCGAAAUUCGUAGAUAUUCGCAAGAACACCAGUGGCGAAGGCGGCUCACUGGCCCGAUACUGACGCUGAGGCACGAAAGCGUGGGGAGCAAACAGG